rnacentral:rRNA from 1 species
GACGAACGCUGGCGGCGUGCUUAACACAUGCAAGUCGAACGGAAAGGCCUCUUUCGGGGGGUACUCGUGUGGCGAACGGGUGAGUAACACGUGAGUAACCUGCCCUUGACUUUGGGAUAACUUCAGGAAACUGGGGCUAAUACCGGAUAGGAGCUCCUGCUGCAUGGUGGGGGUUGGAAAGUUUCGGCGGUUGGGGGUGGACUCGCGGCUUAUCAGCUUGUUGGUGGGGUAGUGGCUUACCAAGGCUUUGACGGGUAGCCGGCCUGGGAGGGUGACCGGCCACAUUGGGACUUGGAAACGGCCCAGACUCCUACGGGAGGCAGCAGUGGGGAAUAUUGCACAAUGGGUGGAAGCCUGAUGCAGCAACGCCGGGUGCGGGAUGACGGGCUUCGGGUUGGAAACCGCUUUCGCUCAUGACGAAGCUUUGUGUGACGGUAGUGGGUAAAGAAGCACCGGCUAACUACGUG